CCUGCUCUAGACCAGUGUUCCCCAACCUGGUCCUGUGGGGCCCGCAGCCGGUUGAUGUUUUUGCUUCCUCCCCCCCGAGCUCGCUGCCAGACAGUUCACAUUUUUGCUCCCUCCCAGCUCCCAGCAAAAACGCGGACUUUUUGUGGGUCCCUGAGGACUGGAUCAUGGAAACACUGCUGAAGAGGUUAGGGGCAUGCGCUGACAGCGCGUUGCUGCACCCACCACGCAACAAACCACCUCAGAGAUGAGACCCCGAGUACAACCAUGUGGCGGGUGACACCUCAGCACCACGCUAGUCCGAAUGGACCAGUGUGAGUUUUUUUCCGGUGCCUGGAGUGCUAGACAGCAUAUAAAAUGUAAUCUAAAAUGGACUGUUGAACAGACCGAAAUCUAAGCUGGUGGUUGCCAUCAGAAUAAUAAAACUCAAAACCGCUGUGCGACUAUGACUAGAGUGCCCUGCAGAAUUAUUAGCAGCUUUGUUAAAACUGAGCUUAAAAAAAUGUAUGACAAAGUAUUGACCUCAACCUCAGUGAACACCUGUAGAGCGAACAGAAGUGGACCUGUGGUUCUUGAGAUGAGAACCGACUCAGUGCCAAUGUGUUUGCAAAGCAAUCCGAGGAUGUGUCAUCAUUCCCAAGAAAUCAAAGGAAAUUAGCCGCGGAUGGCCGAUAAAACAAUUACUCGCUGAAAAACUUUUGAGGGACGCAUUUGUCCAUAAAAUCAAGUCCGGAGUCCCAGUCGCACCUCCUAUUUCUGAUCCAUUGCUUCCCAAUAAAAAAAAAAACUGUGCUUAGUUCUGCUUUCUGAAAUGUAUUUUUCAAAUGACAGGUUUGAUUUAUUGCGG